rnacentral:tRNA from 1 species
UAAAAAGGUAAGCUAAGUAAGCUUAUAGGUUCAUACCCUGUCAAUGAAAGUAAAACCCUUCCCUUUUUAA